UUUUGACGUCAUGUAAACAAAUAGAACGAAUUUUAAUAAAGUAACGAAAAGAUAAAAGAAAAUAUAACAAAUAAAGAUAGUUGAAACAUUGAGAUAAAAGAAAUUGACAGAAUUAAAGAAUCUAAAUUGACAAAGAAGAUAAACUUGCUAUAAAUGAUCCGCUGGAGAAAUGAAGACUUCGUUAAUAAAUCACAUCUUCCUUGCAAUGGCUUUUGUUAUAAGCUUUAAUCGUCAGUCGUGCAUUGCCAAAACCAUUCCCUAUUCACAAGGACAUGUAGAGAUGCCAGCAACAGUUAAGGUGAAGGUCGUAGAUACAGAUAAAAGACAGAGAAGGUAUAUCGACCAGUUUCCUGACCAAUUAGAUGUUGACGUGUCAACAGAUGAAUUGCAUGAACAUUUUCAACAUCUAAAAAGAAAUCAUCACGUUCCGCAUAUUAAGUAUAUUCACAUGAUGGAAAAUGGAACAGUUAAAAAGUUCAGAUUUGAAAGAAAAGAGGUAAUCCAUUAUUUUGUUGCAAUAUCUUCACUUAUACGUAACUUUUUUCUAAUGUCUUUGUUUAUGAAAACAAGGGAUACAGGUUUGCUUGUUUAAAAAGAAGCAUGCGAGAGGUCGUCUUUUUUGCAGCUGUGGAAAAUUUGUUUCGAAAAUAUUAAGAAGAUAUUUUUUCGUUUGAGUGAAAUAUGGAAUAUAAUUUCACGAAACAUGAUAAAAUGCAACAUAUUUUCAAGAGCUGGGACGGCGAUUAAAAAUAUGUGGCAUUUUAUCAUGUUGAGUGGAAAUAUAAACCAUCUCAUUCUUUCACGAAAAGCGCAAAAGUAACCUUUUGAUUUAAUUUCAUUAUCAAAGAAAAUGGUUACGAAUACCUUUGUUUGCAAAUCAACUGCAAUUGUA